rnacentral:rRNA from 1 species
AUACGGAGGGUGCAAGCGUUAUUCGGAAUCACUGGGCGUAAAGGACGCGUAGGCGGGUUAGCAAGUCAGAUGUGAAAUCCUACAGCUUAACUGUAGAACUGCAUUUGAAACUGCUAACCUAGAGUAUGGGAGGGGGAGAUGGAAUUAGUGGUGUAGGGGUAAAAUCCGUAGAUAUCACUAGGAAUACCGAAAGCGAAGGCGAUCUCCUGGAACAUAACUGACGCUAAGGCGUGAAAGCGUGGGGAGCAAACAGGAUUAGAAACCCUAGUAGUCC